rnacentral:rRNA from 1 species
AAUCAACGCUGGCGGCGUGCCUCAGACAUGCAAGUCGAACGAUUAAAGCUCUCUUCGGAGAGUGCAUAAAGUGGCGCACGGGUGAGUAACACGUAAGUAAUCUACCUUCGAGUGGGGAAGUAACGUCCGGAACGGACGCUAAUACCGCAUAACGCAGCGGCAUCGCAAGAUGACAGUUGUUAAAGAUUUAUCGCUUGAAGAGGAGCUUGCGGCAGAUUAGCUUGUUGGUAAGGUAACGGCUUACCAAGGCUACGAUCUGUAUCCGGUCUAAGAGGACGGUCGGACACACUGACACUGAAUAACGGGUCAGACUCCUACGGGAGGCAGCAGUCGGGAA